GACGAACGCUGGCGGCGUGCUUAACACAUGCAAGUCGAACGGAAAGGCCCUGCUUUUGUGGGGUGUUCGAGUGGCGCACGGGUGAGUCACACGUGUGUAACCUGCCCUUGACUUUCGGAUAACUUCAGGAAACCGGGGCUAAUACCGGAUAUGAGCUCUUGCUCCAUGGUGGGGGUUGGAAAGUUUCGGCGGGUGGGGAUGUGCUCGCGGCUUAUCAGCUUGUUGGUGGGGUUGUGGCUUACGAAGGCUUCGACGGGUGGCCGGCCUGGGAGGGUGACCGGCCACAUUGGGACUGAGAUACGGCCCAGACUCCUACGGGAGGCAGCAGUAGGGAGUAUUACACAAUGGGCGGAAGCCUGAGGCAGCAACGCCGCGUGCGGGAUGACGGCCUUCGUGUGAUAAACCGCUUUCGCCUGUGACGAAGCGGGAGUGACGGUAAUGGGUAAAGAAGCACCGGCUAACUACGUG
rnacentral:rRNA from 1 species